UGAAGUAGCCUAAAUAUCCUAAAGGCACUAGAUCCUGUCUGAUUUAGGAAGCAAUUCAGGGUCAGCUCUGGUUAGUACUUGGACAGGAAACUGCCAAUGAAUACCAGGUGCGCUAGGUUAU
rnacentral:rRNA from 11 species